AUGAUGGAUCUAAUUUCAUAAAAAGAAAAAAAUAAAAAUCAAAUGGCUGCAGUAUUCCUGACUGUAUUAAGGUAGCACAAUCAAUCGCCGCUUAAUUGGCGGAUAGUAUGAACGGUAAUACGAAGAUUCCACUGUCUCAAGUAUAAAAUAAAGAAAAUUGAGAUAAUAGUUAAGAUGCUAUUUUUAAUCGUAAGACGAUAAGACCCUAUAAAGCUUAACUAUACCCCCCUCACCUUAGGGUGGUGGGGAGAGGUAGUUUACUUGGGGCAAGGACUUUUUAAAAAGAAAAAAAGUAAGCAAAGCAAAUAAAAAAAUAAAUAGUUUAUUGUAUAAAAAAUAAAUUUAACAAUCACAACGUGGGCUAUAAUGACCCGUUAACACUACAAAAAGGUUAACAAUUAUUUGAUAAAAGCUACUUUAGGGAUAACAGGAUAAUUUCAUUAAAGAGAGGAAAUCGCUGAUGAAGUUUGUCACCUCGAUGUUGAAUUAAGAUAACCGAGCAGAGCAAAAACUGCUUAAGGUAGGUCUGUUCGACCUUUAAAUAUCUUACAUGAUUUGAGUUCAUUCCGU
rnacentral:rRNA from 1 species